CCUGCCUCCCCUGUGAAAUUAACCCUUUGAAAACCUCUCUCUUCUAAUCUUUUCUCUGUAAUUCCUAUGGCGACGUCCUCGUUCAACAUCAAUGAACUGGUAGCCUCCCACGGCGAUAAAGGACUACUCGCGACCGCCCUCGUUGAUAAGACAGCUCAUGAGCAGCUCGAGGAGCAAUUACAGCAUCAACGUAGAGGCCGUAAGGUCUACAUUCGGAAUGUUCUGAGUGUAAAGGAUUCCGAGAUCAUUCGGAAUCGGUAUGGAGGAAAGUACGACCUCCAUCUUACCCAGCAGGAGUUUGCUCCCCACGGCCUAGCUGGUGCCCUCCGCUUGUGUGAAACUCUCGAUUGUCUGGACUCUUUCCCUUCUUCAGGUCUGCGGCAGGACCUCGUCUUAGACUUCGGAGGAAGUUGGGUCACACAUUACCUCCGCGGACAUAACGUACACUGUUGUUCCCCUUGUUUGGGUAUCCGUGAUAAAAUGCGCCACGCGGAACGUUUAAUGAACAUGCGCAAGAUCAUCUUGAACGAUCCACAACAGUUCGAUGGUCGGCAGCCGGAUUUCUGCACUCAAUCCGCUGCGGAUUGCAAAGUACAAGCCCACUUUGCUAUAUCCAUUCAUGGAGGUUAUGAUAUGGGCUUCAGAGGAUUAUGUGAAGCAAUGAACGCUCAUGGAACCACUUUUUUGAAGGGAACGAUGAUGUUCGAUGGUGCGAUGAUGUUUGACGACCAAGGCGUAAUACCUGAACUUAAUUGCCAGUGGAGGAAGAUUAGGAGUGCUUUCUCCGAAACUGAAGACGUCACACCGGUGUCUGGUAAGCUUAACACCGUAUUCUCUCAUGUUCGUAAGUUUAAGACUAUGGUAGCUUUCGAUUUUAUCAACGAGUCUACCAUGUCUUAUGUUCAUGAUUGGGAGAAUAUAAAAUCUUUUCUUACCGACCAGACUUAUUCUUAUAAAGGAAUGACCUACGGCAUCGAACGUUGUGUCAUUAAUGCCGGUAUUAUGACGUAUAAGAUCAUCGGUGUGCCUGGGAUGUGUCCACCCGAACUCAUUCGACAUUGUAUUUGGUUCCCCUCGAUUAAAGACUAUGUUGGUCUAAAGAUUCCCACGUCGCAGGACUUGGUUGAGUGGAAAACAGUGCGUAUUUUAACGUCAACAUUGCGUGAAACUGAAGAGAUUGCCAUGAGAUGUUACAAUGAUAAGAAGGCGUGGAUGGAACAAUUUAAGGUUAUCUUAGGUGUUCUAUCUGCUAAAUCAUCUACCAUUGUUAUCAAUGGUAUGUCCAUGCAAUCUGGUGAACGGAUAGAUAUCAACGACUAUCAUUACAUUGGUUUCGCCAUUCUUCUUCACACAAAAAUGAAGUACGAACACCUAGGGAAAAUGUAUGAUAUGUGGAACGCUUCGAGCAUCUCGAAGUGGUUUGCAGCGUUGACUCGUCCGCUGCGUGUGUUUUUCUCUGGUGUUGUUCGUGUGCUGUUCCCGACUUUAAGACCCCGCGAGGAAAAAGAAUUUUUGAUUAAACUCUCCACCUUUGUGACUUUCAAUGAAGAGUGCUCAUUUGACGGUGGAGAGGAAUGGGACGUGAUAUCAUCCGCUGCAUUCGUUGCUACGCAGGCUGUUACUGAUGGGAAGAUUUUGGCUGCGCAGAAAGCCGAGAAGCUCGCUGAGAAGCUUGCACAACCCGUGAGUGAGGUAUCAGACAGCUCUGAGGCGUCAUCUACAACGCCUGAUGAUACUGCUGAUGUUUGUGGAGAGGAGCAAGAGAUUUCGGAACUUGACUCCUUAUCAGCUCAGACACGUUCCCCCAUCACUAGAGUUGCUGAAAGGGCUACUGCUAUGCUAGAGUAUGCCGCUUAUGAGAAACAAUUACAUGACACUACGGUGUCUAAUUUGAAACGUAUCUGGAAUAUGGCGGGUGGUGAUGACAAGAGAAAUUCUCUCGAAGGUAAUUUGAAAUUUGUUUUCGAUACGUAUUUUACCGUUGAUCCCAUGGUGAAUAUUCAUUUCUCCACGGGUCGGUGGAUGCGUCCUGUACCCGAGGGAAUUACCUAUUCUGUUGGUUAUAACGAACGCGGUUUGGGUCCGAAGUCUGAUGGAGAGCUUUACAUUGUCAAUAGCGAGUGCGUGAUUUGUAACAGUGAAUCACUAUCUACCGUUACGCGCUCGCUUCAAGCUCCAACCGGAACCAUUAGUCAGGUCGACGGAGUCGCUGGUUGUGGGAAAACCACAGCAAUUAAAUCCAUUUUUGAACCGUCCACUGACAUGAUUGUUACCGCGAACAAGAAAUCCGCCCAAGAUGUACGUAUGGCACUUUUCAAAUCGUCAGAUUCCAAAGAAGCCUGCACUUUCGUUCGAACAGCUGAUUCCGUCCUACUUAAUGAAUGUCCGACUGUUAGUAGGGUUUUGGUUGAUGAGGUUGUAUUGCUGCACUUUGGUCAAUUAUGUGCCGUCAUGUCUAAGCUGAAGGCUGUGCGAGCUAUAUGUUUUGGGGAUUCGGAGCAAAUUGCUUUUUCUUCUCGAGAUGCCUCGUUUGACAUGCGUUUCUCUAAGAUCAUUCCUGAUGAGACUAGUGAUGCGGACACUACAUUCCGUAGCCCACAAGACGUUGUGCCGCUUGUGCGUUUAAUGGCUACGAAGGCCCUUCCGAAAGGAACCCAUUCAAAAUACAUGAAAUGGGUUUCUCAAUCUAAAGUGAAGAGAUCUGUUACAUCUCGUGCUAUCGCUAGUGUAACAUUGGUCGAUUUGGAUCCGACUAGGUUUUACAUUACGAUGACCCAAGCUGAUAAGGCUUCACUGAUUUCAAGGGCGAAAGAGAUGAAUCUACCAAAGACUUUCUGGAACGAAAGGAUCAAAACUGUGCAUGAGUCUCAAGGCAUUUCUGAGGACCAUGUUACUUUGGUAAGAUUAAAGAGCACAAAGUGUGACCUGUUUAAACAGUUUUCUUAUUGUCUUGUUGCUUUGACUAGACACAAGGUCACCUUCCGCUACGAGUAUUGUGGUAUAUUGAACGGCGAUUUAAUCGCCGAAUGUAUUGCUCGUGCUUAGCGGUUUCCCACCUUUGAGCGGGAUCUGAGUUGGCAGUAUUGCUAUAAACUGCCUGAAGUCACUAAACGUUUUACGGUGAGCG
rnacentral:misc_RNA from 1 species